AUUGAACGCUGGCGGCAGGCCUAACACAUGCAAGUCGAGCGGGAACUUCGGUUCUAGCGGCGGACGGGUGAGUAAUGCGUAGGAAGCUACCCGACAGAGGGGGAUACCAGUUGGAAACGACUGUUAAUACCGCAUAAUGUCUACGGACCAAAGUGUGGGACCUUCGGGCCACAUGCUGUCGGAUGCGCCUACGUGGGAUUAGCUAGUUGGUGAGGUAAUGGCUCACCAAGGCGACGAUCCCUAGCUGGUUUGAGAGGACGAUCAGCCACACUGGAACUGAGACACGGUCCAGACUCCUACGGGAGGCAGCAGUGGGGAAUAUUGGACAAUGGGCGCAAGCCUGAUCCAGCCAUGCCGCGUGUGUGAAGAAGGCCUUCGGGUUGUAAAGCACUCUCAGUAGGGAGGAAGGGGUUGUAGUUAAUAGCUGCAACUUUUGACGUUACCUACAGAAGAAGCACCGGCUAACUCUGUGCCAGCAGCCGCGGUAAAAC
rnacentral:rRNA from 1 species